rnacentral:piRNA from 1 species
UGGAGUCCGAACCCCUGGUGAGCUU